UGGGAGACGGAUGCGCGCGCAUCGACGACACCGGUAUCAGGAUCGACUCGCAUCGUCGCCGUGACCGAACGUGACAAUAAUUUUAAUUAACCUAACGGAUAAUAUAAAUACAUUGUACAAGUAUUUGUUUCUUAAUUAAUUAUUACCAAGACGAGUAGCACACGUCGGAAUGUGAGAACAUGAGAGACGUGGUUCCACGUCUUUUCAUCUUGGAUACGAAAGCCUUCCCGGCCAAGAAGAUGAUAUGCCUAAUAUCCAUCCAUCCAUCUCCAUACCUCAACGUCUCCCAUUCUCCCAACCUACACAGGUAUUUUUUUAUUAUUGUUAACAUAAUUAUUUUAUUCAUCGUACGGGUAUUGUUUUCUCAUCCGAAUAAUUUUCUCAUUUUUCAGAUUUAUACGGAGAUUAUUUGUUCUUUUACACAUUGUCUCCAACUUUUUAUUUCAAAUCACCAUCCGCGUUGUUACGUGUCUGUGCGUGGUCGCGCUGCACCUUCCGUCGAAGCAACGCAACGUUUGCAACCGUGUGUUGCACUGGGUGGUGGUGGUGGUGGUGGUGUCAUGGCGUACCUCAGCCGCCACACAACAAACCACGUAUCCACAUUACGCAUCCAUCUUUAUCUUUGAUUCUCGAAUAUCGUCACAAACGACAAGAUUUGUACAACUGAAAAAUCGUAUAUUGUCAUCAUCAUCAUCAUCAUCAUCAUCAUCAUCGAUAAUUUGAGAUCCGACAAUUCCCACGGUUCUACCGCCACUUUGUCAUGUUUUAAAGUCUGCACAGCACCCCGUUCAACCGUGCAACACAAAUUUUUACACAAUUAAAUCGGAAGAUCUCUUUGAUCGGAUUUUGCUUUUGCAAGAAUGGUUUGCCUUAUUUACACGACGAAAGCGUUGACCACGUGCUCGAACGCAUAAAUAAGCGACACCAAAAA